rnacentral:sRNA from 1 species
ACAACACCCUGAGACACGUUUCUUGCAGGCUCCCGAUUGGCCCUGCAUCCAUGUUUGCUGCAGAAUCAAGCCGAUUGAACCACUCUUUGGGCCAUCUCUCGGUCUUCCGUGCAGUUUUUCGUGCAACGCCCACAUCGUCUCCGGCUCUCGUCGUCUGUUGCCUGCGUGUAUCGGCCAUUCAGGUGUUGAGCAAUUCACGCUUGGUUCUGCAGCUUGAUUCGCUUCUCUCGAAACGGGAGCAAGAAUUUGAAGUCGGCGUCUGGACGUUUCAUCGACCCACCAACCAAAUGCACCGCCUCCGUCAUCCACCACAUCCUUGUCCCUCACGUUAAACCCAAAUGGGGUCUGAAUAGAAGCCACACGCAACAAGCAUAUAGAGGGUUUUGAUGUCGAACAGGCCAGUCUCUUACUGGUUGGCAUCAGGCUAUCAGCAAUAAGCUGUGGAUUACACGCCACAACCGACGAACGAACUUUCGCCGGAGGACUCCCUUGUCGUUCCCGGCGUGCGUCAUGCCUGCGAAGGACGAGGACCGGGAUCGCCAACGCAGGAGUCAGAGAGAAAAGGACAGGGAACAACGUCGCCCUCGAUAUCGCUCCCCACCAUCGUUAUUCGAAGGAGAUGCUGUUGAGAAGGAAGGCAGCAGACAUUCUGAUACGAGAUACGAGAGACGGACUCCGAGGAUAUUCCAUAGGACAAGACCAAGCGAACUCACACCAAGAGAAAGGGAUCGAAGGAGAGCUGUCACAGGAGAUUAUAGGUUGAACUCGUCAAAUCUCUCCAUGCCCGCCACCGACUCGAAUUCCCGCCCCUCCUCUGCCUUUUUUGUGGAGUCGAAGCCCAAUUUACCAUAUCCGUCAUUUUCCAAAGCGCACAGCAAGGAAGCGGUGGGGUUUCUGGGGAGCAGGGAAAACAUCGGGCAACCCAAAGUGGAUAUCUUGACGCCUGAGCCAACUGAUCUAACUACGGGAGAAGAAACAAAUGGCAAGACAAGAGGAGAUGAUAUCAAUCCUACCGAGCAGGAGAAGGCAUCUAGACGGCAUAGCGCUCACCGCUCCCCUCCAAGCCCCCCGUUAACGAACCUUGACCAACAGUCUACAAGGAGAGAGAGCACCACAGGUGGGAACAAAAAAUCGGAGGAGAAACGGAGUGCAACGAAGAGUCAGGAUGAAAAGAAAAAACAUAGGCCCAACCCCAUCUCCAAGGAGUCCACCUCAAGCAUGCGCCGCAAGUCAGAUGAAGGUUCGAAAACGAGCAGCAGAGGGUCAGGACCAAGUACCCCUGGAAAGUUAUUGUUUGAAUCUCUCCAGUCUCAGCACAACAAGUCUCCAACCAGCGGAAAUACAUCCAAAUCAAGACAACUAGGGAGGAGUGACUCAGCCAAACAAUCAUCCCGCCGAAAAGCAAAGCCCUCAUCUCCAGACCUAUCAUCAGUAACGCAGGUUGAGAUCGAAGUUGUACCCUCCACUGUGGACUCAGAUGCAACAUCUAUCGCACCGAAUCAGCAACCUACAUAUCAACGUCCCUCUAUCACCAUGAGAGCUCCGUCUGAGCCCCACAGAAUCCCUACACCGAGAAGAUCAUCCCCAACAAAGCUGAGCCCGCCGUCAGCGCCUCACUCCCCAUCUACCGGAUUGCCCCCGCCCCCGCCCCCGCCUCCUAAUGUACCCAUUACGAUCCCAAAAGUGGAUUAUUUACUCAACAAUGGUGGGCUCAAAUAUCAUGUCCCUAGAAGUUUCUUUGGAGCUGGAGAGUCUGCAAAUAUGCCACAGGAUUUCUUCAAACCCGCGGCAGCUGCUUCCAAACUUUUCGAGCCGUACAAUAAGUUGCUUGAUGACUAUGGAGUAGUGAUAUCGAAAUGUGGAUCCCUCGCCGUGGCCACAGGGUAUAGAUCGGUUGCAAGGAGGCUCCUGGACAGGUUAGAAGCCGUCUUUGCGCGGGAUAUUUCGUCUGAAUCGUGCCAAUGUAUAAUGUGUUCCCCUACCGAGGUUGCGCCAGAGGGAGUCAGCUGGGGCGAGGUGUUAGAGCUUGUUUCUGGUCGACAGGAUCUACCGCCGUGGCCUCCAUUUAAAAUCGCUGCCAAACCGGGGGCUGCAGAUAUUACGGAUUCAAACAGCGACGAACCGAUGCAGAAGAUGGAUAUGGACAUUCCCGAAGAGUUUAGGGAACAUUUCGUUCGCCAGUCCAGGAAAACGAAGCACGCUGUGGAUAAAUGGCUUUCUUACAGUAACGACCAAGGCGGCAGCCCGCCUGAUGAGAUUGACGAUGAGACACUGAUGUUUGCCAUGCUAACUUAUCUAGACCAGGAGGAGAGAGAACUCUUCAGUGCGCUAUUAGACAUUGCAAUGACACCCCCAGAGCCAAAGCGUGAAACUCCCAAACCACGAGAUCGACCGGAUGCCAUCGUUCAGUCCGGCGCUGCAAUCCAACGUUUAUACAGACUAUCCAUACCACCUCGUGACCCUGAAACAGCGCUCUAUUUGCUGAAGAACCCGGGCAUACACCAUGUCCUAGCCACACUCGCAGCCAUCAGCAGCGAUGAAUGGGACAUUCUCAUCUCCGGACGUUUCGAUGGAUUUCUCCGUAGUGGGGCAGACGAUGACCUUCCCCAAACGUUCUCCGCCGCAUCCGUCCGGGCCCCUCGACCUGGAUCCACUCGACCGGUUUCGCAAGCUUCUAACGCCAGGCUCCGAAACAUCAGCCAGCCGUACGGUGGUCCUUCAUAUCCAUCCCGCACCUCCACCCCAGCCCCUGCCUCAUUUGGCGCCCCCAUCUACGUCGACGAAGACACCGAAAUCGCCGCCCUUGCUGAAAUUGAACGGGACAUCUACCUCGGCAUGGAAGCGCUGGAAGACGCCUUUGAAGUCCUGCAUGUCAAAGCGGAAGCGAUCCGUGGCGCCCUUCGGGAACGCGGUGCGGGGUUGCAAGUUGCCAAUCUAACACGGCGCGGGGGAUCCGGGGGUGUUGAAGUGCUCUCGGGCACGCCUGCGGCGGGCAUCGGGGGCUAUGGUCUGAAUGGCAACGGCGGCUGGGAGAGCUCAACGGAUGACGGGAUUGAAGAUGGGGUUUCAGAGAUAUUGCCCUCCGAUUCCGCGAGUAAUAUUAGCUCGAGUAGGAGGCGGCGGCCGAAGAGACGGAGCGAGAGGCGGACGCCGGUUGUUUUUGAGGAGGAGGAGGAAGGCGAAGAGGAUGAUAUUGUUGCGACCCAUGAUUACAGGACGAGGAAGAAGUAUUAGGCUGCGGAGAGCUGUUGGGGGACGAGUGAUUGGGGUGAAUCUGGGACGGUGCCGCAGGUUGUUGUGUCAGUGAGUGUGGUAAACAAAAUAUCAUGGAUCUUUUCCCUCAUUCCCAUUUGUCCUUGCUUUUGCUUCCUCGUUUUCUUUCAGCCCUCUCUCUCUCUCACUAACCUUUUUUCUUUUUUUUUUUUUUGGCGCAUCUACUGUUAGUUGAUUUUUACGUACCCUGCAUGUCUUGCACUUGCUAUGCAUCAUUUCCCGAAAGGAAGUAAAGGGAAUGCAAAACGACACUUAUGACAUUACAUGGCUUGAUACCUGAUACCUGAUACCUGAAAACGAACCACUAUGAAAUGAGAAGCAUGAUGAUGGAACAAAAGCAUCAGCAGGCGGAAAAAUGUUGAUACCGCGUAUCCUUUCCUCCGUUUUCGUUUUUUCUUUUAUCUUUUUAUUGAUUUUCAUUCCGCCUUUCAUGCUCCCGCGUUCUCUCUCUCUCUCUCUCCCUAGCAUGAGGUUUGUUUUCAUAAUUUGGGCAUAUACUAUUUCCACUUGUUAUCCAUCUUCUCCCUCCGUGAUGUCUUACCUCUCUUCCCCAUACCAUAAGAUAUACCGCCAAACAGAAUUGUCCAUCUGAAUGUCAUUUCAUCUCCUUGCACCCCUUAGAACUCGCAUUUGGAAAAAAAUACAUAAAUAAGUAAAGUCCCUCCCACGAAAAUCACGUCUUUUCCUCUAUCGCUGUCCAUCACUCAUGCAUUGCCAUUCCGUUCAUUAUAUAUCUAACGUUAUAUUAUAUACUAGUAUAUAUAUAUUGUUUUACGUUCCCCUCUAUCUUUUUUCCUUUUUUUGCCUUUUCCUCUUUUUGCUACCCGCCAUGUGAAACGGCGCUGUUUGUUGAGUGUAUUUCCACGUUGUUGCCAUCGGGGUUAUCAUAUCCGCCUUUCUCCCCCUAUUUCAGUUGAUAAGGAGCGUACCGUUGAACGCAUUGAGCGCACUGGUACUGCCACAUAUAUGGAUGCAUGCAUUAUUACUAGUACCUACUGGAGUUACGGGGUUAGGGUUGUAUAAGUUCUGAAUAUAUAUAUCUUCAUCACUCGGUGGAAGCGAAGGAACGCAAUUUCUACCAUAAAACAAAACAAGCAAAAAAUAAGUA